rnacentral:rRNA from 1 species
GUCUACGGCCAUGCCACCCUGAACAAGCCUGAUCUCGUCUAAUCUUGGAAGCUAAGUAGGGUCGGGACUGAGUAGUACUUGAAUAGGAGACCACCUAGGAAGACCAAGUGCUGUAGGCG